GCGCACGCGCAGAGCAGGCGAGGCGCCAGCCUCCCACGGGCUGCGGGCGCGCUGCCGACACCCACGGAUCGCUGGGGCGAGGAGGUCCACACCCUGCCAUCUAAAGAGAACCGCUCUUGCACCGAGGACACCCCCGAGCUCCCAACCCUCCCAGCCCGGAGAGCGGCGCCCCCUGCGGAGCGGAGGAGGUGCAGCAGAAGAGCGUGUACGCAGGCGCGGUUUUCUACUCUCGUCCGUCCCCCAGCGGAAAGAACGCGAAGCACCUUCGCAGUCAUUCUUAUUCCUUGGGGUCGUUAUGUGUGCGCUUUCUCCAGGAUUCUUUUCUGUGGGGAUCCUAUUUAAGGCCCUUUGUCGGGGAGGGGGCAGGGGAGAGCGAAUGAUUCAGUCUACAAGAGCCUUGGGUGACUGCUUGACCUUAUAGUGGAGGCCACACGAAGCCAAACUAGUUGGCCUUAGCGUUGGGGAAAACUGCAAUUCCGAAUAGUUGUAAAUGCUCAGGAGUGAAGUUCAUGGACAGUGGCAAUGGGAGUGUGGCGUCAGCCGGCACCUGACAGGUCCUGCUGGUCCUCAAAGCAGGAGUUAUGUUUGUUCCAGAGCGGUGCAGAAGCUGGACGUGGAGAGUCGAGUCAUACCUGUAAUCCCAGAAUUUAGGAGGCUGAGGCAGGAGGAUAACAAGUUGGAGGGUAGGUAGCCUGGGUUAGUUCUGGAAGGGAUUGACAAAUAGGCUGCCGAAGCUAAGACAUGAAAAAUAAGGUCAUUCAGCUGAGCCAGCUCAGGGCCCCGAAACAAGGUGUAAAGAUAAUGGUGAGUUGACAUUCAAGACAUACAGAUAGUGACAGUGAUCGAACCCAGAUGGGCCAGCUCAGGAGGCCAACAACGGGAUGUAAAGAAUGAGGCGUGACAGUGGUGGACCUUAACCAGGUCAGAUCGAAGCAACCUUAGGGGACUUCCUCUCCAGGACAGCAGAGGUCUGUUACCCUCUCCCCUAGUGAACUUUUCAAUUUUAAGGCUACUUUAAGCCUCAGACAUAUUCUUGCAUCUCAUACAUCUAGGCAGAGUGAAUUCUGGGAAAACGGGCUCCUUUCGUGGAAAUGCCCGCCCUAGGGAAGGGAUAAGGGGCAGAGGUAUGUAAGCAUCUGGCCUGCUAAGAUCGACCAGGACAGUUGAUGCUUGGGUUCACUUGCUCUUUCUCUUACAUUCUUCCUUGCUUGCUCUAAUUAAAUUUGAAUACUAUGUUCUGCCUGAAUUCUUCUUUCUCUAGAGCAUAAGAAGCAACUGGACAGACAACAAAGGAAACUGGAGACCUCCCUGUAACAACUACAUAACAAGAGCCUGACUCAAAACCAGUCACGGCAGAAGCACAGGGCCCGAGGCUGAGACAGAUGGAGGAGGAAUGAAGAGAAUGUGGCUGCAGGCUGUUGGUGGUGGUCACUUGGAGGUCCAAUGGAAAGUUACUGGGUUGUGCAGGGUAUGGUGGUCCAUGCCAUUAAUUCCAGGCCAUGGGAGGCAGAGGUGAUGCUCCGCCAUGUCAUGAUGAAGCAGGAAGGCAUCAGACACAGGUGCAGUCUCUUGGACUGCCCAGCCUCUAGAGCUUCGAGCCAAACACAAGUUCUAUUUUUUAUAUCUUAUCCAGUCUCACCAGGCAUGGUGAACACUUGCCUGUAACCCCAUCCCUUGAGAAGAAGAGACAAGAGGAUCAGAAGUUCGAUACCAGCCUGGACUACAUGACACCCUAUUUCAGUAAAUAAAUAAUCCAGUAUCAAGUAUUAAAGUGUUAAAUUAACAGGAAAAGGCCUAAGGCAGUGUGAUGGGAAGAGGUGUCAGAGAUCCCUGCAGAUUUUUCGCAGGAGCAGGCGGGAUUAUGGGGAGAGAGAAGGGAGUGAGCUCCAUUCUAGCACGCUGAGUUUGCUGUGUUUGGGAGAUGAGAAGUCAAUAGGAGGCUAGAGCUCAGAACAGAAGCUGGGCCUGCAAAAACAACACAGAUCCUGCAGCUGAAGGGGCAGGGUGGCAAGGGUGGGCAGGGUCCAAGGAGGAGUGAGCAACAGUGUGAGAACUUUGGGAGAGAUUUGAUUGGCAGAUAACUCCAUUCAAUUUAGAAGCCCUGAGCUGAGAUCGUUCAGGUAGAAUAGUGUGAGUUGCAGUGCCUGGAAGACUGGCUGAGAAUAGAGACAUGGGAGACCACAGAGUAGACGGUUCUUGAGAAUUUGUGGAUGGUGAAUACGAGACAGAGAAGGAAUCGUGGGAUUGAAGGGGGACUUUAUUUAUUUAUUUAUUUAUUUACUUACUUAUUUAUUUCCCCCCAAGACAGGGCUCUGUAGAGCCCUGGCUGUGUUUCACUGUGUCGACCAGGCUGGCCUCGAAUCCAGAGAUCCACCUGCCCCUGCCUCUGUCUCCUAAAUACUGG